rnacentral:rRNA from 1 species
GACGAACGCUGGCGGCGUGCUUAACACAUGCAAGUCGAACGGAAAGGCCCUGCUUUGGUGGGGUGCUCGAGUGGCGAACGGGUGAGUAACACGUGAGUAACCUGCCCUUGACUGUGGGAUAACUUCAGGAAACUGGGGCUAAUACCGGAAAGGAGCUCCUGCUGCAUGGUGGGGGUUGGAAAGUUUCGGCGGUUGGGGAUGGACUCGCGGCUUAUCAGCUUGUUGGUGUGGUAGUGGCUUACCAAGGCUUUGACGGGUAGCCGGCCUGAGAGGGUGACCGGCCACAUUGGGACUGAGAUACGGCCCAGCCUCCUACCGGAGGCAGCAGUGGGGAGUAUUGCACAAUGGGCUGAAGCCUGAUGCAGCCCCGCCGCGUGCGGGAUGUCGGCCUUCCGGUUGUAAACCGAUUUCGCCUGUCCCGAAGCGUGAGUGACGGUACUGGGUAAAGAAGCACCGGCUAACUACGUG